rnacentral:lncRNA from 8 species
AUCCACUUAACAAUUCAAACAAAGUAACAACAGCUACAGUUCUGCAGGCUAGAAACGCAGUGCAAAAAACAACCACCCACAACCCCAAAGAAAAACACACACACCUAUAUAGGACUUCCAAUCAAAGGCAACUAUACACACCUGCCUUCAAUUGGAAGUCCCAAUCAUCCACCCAACAUUUAACCAACACAAACAUGCCACGUCCUGACCCAACUACACCCUCUACUGGUCAGGACGUGACAUGCCCAUUGAAUAAUCCCCUGUAGUGUAGCCCUGUGUAUCACAUUGUUCUGACGGGACUCCUGUACAGGUGCACUGGUGGUGCAGAUAAUGAUGCAAAUAUAAUGGAGCUCAUUGGAGACUGUGAUUGGUCAGAGGUAGGCCAGGGUGUGGCUUACCUGCCUGCUGCUUCCUGGAGUCCCCAAGGGCUCACCUGGUGUCACUUGCCCCAGAGCAGAGAUCGGUGACUGGAGGGAAGCUGACUGCACAUUAGACCACAGCCAUGACAGAGCGACAAGACACGCCUCUGUGCUCUGUUGGCCUGCCGUUGCUACUCUCAGCUGGACGAGGCCGUGGAGAGUGUGGCUGAAGGCCGAGGCCGGGGUGCUAGCAGAGGGGACAAGGAGAGGGGCCACUGGGCAGCAGGACGAGUGGGGGACAUUGACUUCACUGGCACCAGUAGGACAAGGGGAAAGGUAACACUUACAACCACAAGGCAACAAUGUUACAACCACAAGGUGCUAUAACCACAAGGCAACCCUGCUACAACCACAAGGUAACACUGUUACAACCACAAGGUGCUAUAACCACAAGGCAACACUGUUACAACCACAAGGUGCUAUAACCACAAGGCAACACUGUUACAACCACAAGGUGCUGUAACCACAAGGCAACACUGCUACAACCACAAGGUAACACUGUUACAACCACAAGGUAACACUGUUACAACCAUAAGGCAACACUGUUACAACCACAAGGCAACACUGUUACAACCACAAGGUGCUGUAACCACAAGGCAACACUGCUACAACCACAAGGUAACACUGUUACAACCACAAGGUGCUAUAACCAGAUGGUAACACUGUUACAACCACAAGGUGAUAUAACCACAAGGUGCUAUAACCACAAGGUGCUAUAACCAGAUGGCAAC